rnacentral:lncRNA from 1 species
UAUGCACUCUGAAAACAUUAGAUAUCAUUAUUAUAGCACAAAAUCAUUCUAACUCAGUCGGCCAGACUCCAGACCUUGCUGCCUGUGCACUGUGCUCUGUGGCUUUGCUGCUUGGCCUCCACUGCUGCCUGACCAUUUGAUUCCAUUGGGUUGGGUCAGCUCAGCUUUUCAGGUCAUGCUGAAGUUUGAUUUGUUAUUCAAGUAUUAACUCUGCCUCUAAGACUACAUUUGAAAAGCAUGUAUUAUUCAUCUUUUUUCAAAUAUUGCAUUUUCUCGAUCUUGGAUGUACUGUUUCAUAUUUUCAUGUUUGUGGGGAGAAGGGUGCAUCUCACAUUACAACAUGGGCAGUAUUUUUUUUCCUGGAAAGUGAUGAUUAAGUCCUGGCUCUGUCUUACACCUGGU